rnacentral:rRNA from 1 species
UAGCGCAUGAACCUUCGGGGGAUUAUGCUAACGGACAGCGGCGGACGGGUGAGUAACGCGUAGGCAACCUGCCCCUGACAGAGGGAUAGCCAUUGGAAACGAUGAUUAAAACCUCAUGACACCGUAGAAGCACAUGCUUCAUCGGUCAAAGAUUUAUCGGUCAGGGAUGGGCCUGCGUCUGAUUAACUAGUUGGUGAGGUAACGGCUCGCCCAAGGUGACGAUCAGUAGCCGACCUGAGAGGGUGAUCGGCCACAUUGGAACUGAGACACGGUCCAAACUUCUACGGAAGGCAGCAGUAGGGAAUCUUGCACAAUGGGCGAAAGCCUGAUGCAGCAACGCCGCGUGAAGGAUGAAGGCCUUCGGGUUGUAAACUUCUGUUCUAAGGGAAGAAACAAAUGACGGUACCUUAGGAGCAAGCCCCGGCUAACUACGUGCCAGCAGCCGCGGUAAUACGUAGGGGGCAAGCGUUAUCCGGAAUUAUUGGGCGUAAAGAGUGCGUAGGUGGUUACCUAAGCGCAAGGUUUAAUUUAGAGGCUCAACCUCUACUUGCCUUGCGAACUGGGCUACUUGAGUGCAGGAGGGGAAAGCGGAAUUCCUAGUGUAGCGGUGAAAUGCGUAGAUAUUAGGAGGAACACCGGCGGCGAAGGCGGCUUUCUGGACUGUAACUGACACUGAGGCACGAAAGCGUGGGUAGCAAACAGGAUUAGAUAUCCUGGUAGUCCACGCCGUAAACGAUGAGCACUAGGUGUUGGGCCCGUUAGGGCUCAGUGCCGC